AGUACCGUGAGGGAAUGGUGAAAAGUACCCCGGGAGGGGAGUGAAAUAGUACCUGAAACCGUGUGCCUGUAAGCCGUCAGAGCCUUGUGGGGUGAUGGCGUGCCUUUUGAAGAAUGAGCCUGCGAGUUAGUGAUACGUGGCGUGCUUAACCCGUGUGGGGUAUGCGUAGCGAAAGCGAGUCUGAAAGAUGGCGUUUGUCGCGUGUUCUAGACCCGAAGCGGGGUGAUCUACCCAUGGUCAGGUUGAAGCAGAGGUAAGACUGUGUGGAGGACCGAACCCACCAGGGUUGAAAACCUGGGGGAUGAACUGUGGGUAGGGGUGAAAGGCCAAUCAAACUCCGUGAUAGCUGGUUCUCCCCGAAAUGCAUUUAGGUGCAGCGUUGCGUGGUCCCUGGUGGAGGUAGAGCUACUGGAUGGCCGAUGGGCCCUGUGGGUUACUGACGUCAGCCAAACUCCGAAUGCCAUUAGGUGUAGCGUGGCAGUGAGACUGCGGGGGAUAAGCUUCGUAGUCGAGAGGGAAACAGCCCAGAUCAUCAGCUAAGGCCCCUAAGCGUACGCUAAGUGGGAAAGGAUGUGGAGUCGCGGUGACAACCAGGAGGUUGGCUUAGAAGCAGCCAUCCUUGAAAGAGUGCGUAAUAGCUCACUGGUCAAGUGGUUCUGCGCCGACAAUGUAGCGGGGCUCAAGCGUACCGCCGAAGCUGUGGCAACAACGCGAUUGUGCUGGCGCCAGGAACUGGAGUGCUGGUGUGUUGUUGGGUAGGGGAGCGUCCUGCACGAGGUGAAGCCUGGAGGUGACUUCUGGUGGAUUGUGUGGGAGUGAGAAUGCAGGCAUGAGUAACGAAUCUGCGGUGAGAAUCCGCAGCGCCGAUUGACUAAGGGUUCCAGGGCUAGGUUUAUCCGCCCUGGGUUAGUCGGGUCCUAAGGCGAGGCCGACAGGCGUAGUCGAUGGACAACCAGUUGAUAUUCUGGUACCGCGUUGUGACCGCCCAUGCUGAAGUCAUUGUGCUAACCAAUUUGCUCACCGCCUGCUGGGCCUUCGGGUUUGGUGGUGUGUGUGGGUCUUGGGGUCCCGGUGAUUGUAGGCAAGCGUGUUAACAGGGGUGACGCAGACAGGUAGCUGCAGUGCGCCGAUGGUUGUGCGUAUUUAAGGUUGUGGCCCGUCCCUCAGGUAAAUCCGGGGGGCAUGAUGGGUGAGAACUGAUGAGGGUGACACGGUUGUGUUGUCUUGUGGUGAUCCUAUGCUGCCAAGAAAAGCCUCGACGUGAGGGCAUGACGCGCCCGUACCCUAAACCGACUCAGGUGGUCAGGUAGAGUAUACCGAGGCGUUCGAGUGAAUCAUGGUUAAGGAACUCGGCAAAAUUCCUCCGUAACUUCGGGAUAAGGAGGACCCCUUGACUUUCCCGCGCCAUGCGUGCGGGUGGGGUUGGGGGGUCGCAGAGAAUAGGGAGAAGCGACUGUUUAUCAAAAACACAGGUGCGUGCGAAGCCGUAAGGCGAUGUAUACGCACUGACGCCUGCCCGGUGCUGGAAGGUUAAGAGGAACCGUCAACAUCUCUUUGUGGGUGUGAAGCGGUGAAUUUAAGCCCCAGUAAACGGCGGUGGUAACUAUAACCAUCCUAAGGUAGCGAAAUUCCUUGUCGGGUAAGUUCCGACCUGCACGAAUGGCGUAACGACUUCUC
rnacentral:rRNA from 1 species